rnacentral:lncRNA from 1 species
AUGUAUUCCUGCUAUGCAGUGCUUUUGAGCUCUAGCUUUUGCAAACUAUCGACCAGACAUCCAGAAAUAUGCGCAGGUCAAACUCAGACAGGAAACAGAUCCGGCAUGAUGCAGCUGACACAGAACAGCAUACGUCCAGCGGAUAUUCUCCAAAAUGGCACCAGGGUGAUGCAGAGGAGACAAAUUCUUGAAUCAUUUUUUUUUUUUCUUUUGUGCACAAAAAGUAUUCUCGUAGCUUCGUAUGAUGAAUCAUUGAUGUCACAUGGAUUAUUUUACAGAUCUCCUUGCUAUGUUUCUGGACUUGGGAACAUUUCAGUUGCAUUGCUGUCUAUGCAGGGUCAGACAGCUCUCAGAUUCCAUCAAAAAUAUCUUAAUUUGUGUUCCAAAGAUGAACGAAGAUCUUACAGGUGUGAAACGACAUGAGGGUGAGUAAUUAAUGACACAAUUUUCAUUUUUGGGUAAACUAACCCUUUAAAGAUUAUUUGAUUAAAGAUCAAGAUAUAGAGGGCCAAACCAGUUCUGGAUGUUGUGAAAGUGAGCUAGAGUCUUGUUUACGUGAUAUGUCAAAAAAAAUCACAUGAGUAUAAUAAUAGAACAUCCUGUUUUGGUUAUGAUAACACCCAGAGAUCACCCAUUGUAACAUGUUUUGAACAUUAAUUCUUUAUGUUCAUCAAUUCAUCAAUUCUUAAUCAUCAUAAUGAUGAUUAUAAAUUGUUUUGGGACCGUAAUGAUGAUUAUAAAUGACAUGAAAUCAUGUAAGCAAAUAAUUUAAAAAUGAAGAUAUUGCUUAUUAUUCCCUGGGCGCCGCAGCAUAAAUGGCUGCCCACUGCUCCGGGUGUGUGUUCACGGUGUGUGUGUGUUCAUGCUGUGUGUGUGCACUUUGGAUGGAUUAAAUGCAGAGCACGAAUUCUGAGUAUGGGCCACCAUACUUGGCUGUAUGUCACAUCACUUAUUUUAUGCAUUUAAUGCAGUAGUGAUAAUUAUUAAUAAUAAUUUCUGCCCUAGUUGGAAUAUUGUAAAAUACCACAAAAUAGUUAUAUGUAACACAAAACAUAUUCCACUUGUAAGUCUGUUGUUAUCCCCAUUUAGCUGUUAAACAAAAUGUAUUGCUAUAGCAUGAAAUAAAAUUGGUUACGUUUUCUAAACACAUUAAGUGUUCUAAAGUAUUUAUUUAUAUGUUUGUUUGUUAGUUUCCAAAGCUGUGCUAUCAGGUUUUCCACAGUAAGUCAAAUUAUUAUUUUGCCCUUUCCAUCAUUUACCUCAUUUAUUCAAAUCAAGUCUUUGGGAGGAAAUUGUCAUCUUUUUAUCUUUUUGUAGA